CGUAUGGUUUGAAAUCUGGUAUUGUGAUGCCUCUGGCUUCAUUCUUUUUGCUUGGGAUUGCUUUGGCUAUUCAGGCUCUUUUUUUAUUCCCUGUGAAUUUUAGAAGUACUUUCUCUAAUUUUAUGAAGAAUAACAGUAGUAUUUUGAUAGGAAUUGCAUUGAAUCUGUAGAUUGCUUUAGUUAAUAUGGUCAUUUUCAAUAUAUUGAUUCUUCUAUGAACAUAGGGCAUAUUUCCAUUUGUUUGUGUCAUCUAUGAUUUCCAUUUUUCCCAUGAAAGAGCUCUUCAGCAGUGCUUUCUAGUUCUCCUUUUAGAGAUCUUUCAUCUUAGUUACCAAGGAGGUGAAAGAUCUCUAAAUGGUUAAGUUUUUGUUGUUGCCACCACUGUCGUAAAAGCGAUUAGGUUCUUGAUUUGAUUCUCACCUUGGCCAUUCUUGAUGUCUACUAGGGCUACUGAUUUGUGUAUACUAGUGCUACUGAUUUAUGUACAUUGAUUUUAUAACCUGAGACUUUUACUGAUUUCAUUGAUCAAAUCCAGGAGUGUUUACGGUUUUCCAAGCUAAAAGAUUAUGUCUUGGGCAAACAGAUAGUUUGACUUUCUCUUUUCCAAUUUGGGCGACCUUUAUUUCUUUCUCUUGACUGAUUGCUCUGGCUAGGACUUCCCAGUUUCAUUCUAAAUAUGCAUGAAAUAAAAAGUAAAAUGGAAAGUAAUUGAUGAUUAGUUUAUUCCCCAUCUUUCCUGUGCAGAUAAAAUUAAUUCCAAAUUUGAUGUUGAAACUAUCCUUUACUUUUAAAUUAAAUAUUAGAUCCUGUCUUGUUCCAAAAGGGAUUUAAACAUUGUUUAUAAAAUGCAUAAGAAUCAAGAAGAUAAGUUGAAAGUGUUACCAAAAAGAGAGACAUAAAAAGUAUGGAGGUAACAGUUAUUAAACAGCUUAGCCUAGUCUUGGAUUAUAGUAGUCUGAAGAUACAUGUUGUGUGAAUGACAUCUGAAGGUGUUAUCUUACACUGUAAAUCAUUUUUAGGGCUAUACAUACAAUAUUUCACAAAGAUGAAAAUGUAUUUCUAGUGAAUUUCUAAACUUGUUUGUAAAUAGUAACAUCUUUUAAAUUAGCUAACUCUAAAUGAUCUAUUUAACUAAUUUUAAAUUUGCAUAACGUGAAAAAGAAGUAAUUUUCAACUUGUAACUUUACUGAAAAAUUUCAAAUAUGCUCUUCUCAGGUUUACUAGUAACAGAAACUUACCAGUUAACAGAAUGUUUCUUUCCUCACUACUUCUCAAAUAUGUAUGUCCCUUGGAAGAGAGUGAAGUGAGAAAUUAAAAACAUAAGAACUAGAAAGGAAACAAGAACAUAGGAGUUUUUAUGAGGAUUAUAAACCCACAUGGAAGAGCCAGAUGACAAAAUAAACUUUUUUAUUUUCUAAGCAAACACAUUUUAAUAUCCAUAUUUAACUUCAGACUUGCCUUAAGACAAGAAAAGAGAAGAAAGAAAAUGGCGAUACAUUGUGUAAUAAAGAUAGUGAACAGUUAAGAAUAAAAGAAGAGGAAUGUAGGAAAAAGGUUGAAAUGACGCAAUGACUUAAAUGGACUCUGAGAAAACUCAUUAAGGAAUUGAGGAUGGUCGAGCAGCAGCGAAACGAUGCCCAGCAGCAACUUUCCGAAGAACAGAAUGCCAGAAUAUUACGAGAUCAGAUUCUGACCAGUAAACAAAAGGAGCCAGAAAUGGCUCAAAAGAAAAUGGAUUCUGAGGUAUUUUCUUUAGCCAU